GAAUGUGUUUCUGCCAGAGUCUGAACACAGAUCUCAGAUCAGCACAAACAGCAGCUCAUCAUCAUCAUCAUCAUCAUGAUGAAGAUUCUGGCUCUCGCUCUGCUGGUGUUGGCUCUGCAGACUCUAUCAUAUGCACAGCAAACCACAGUGUCUACAACUACUAGAGUCACAACAGUUCCUACAACUACUACUAUAUCAACCAGCAAACCCUCAUACAACUCCACUAAUGGCCCGCCGGUCCUGGAGGCUCUGAUCCACCUGCUGGUUCUUCCGGUCUUUGUGUUUCUUUGGUGGCCCUGAGAAAACCUGCAGAUUCUGCUCCUCUUCUCUUUCUAAAGCUGAUUUUACAUGAAGGGUUAACUGCUGGAAUUAAUAUUAGACAUGAAUACUGUAAACUAUAAGAAAUAAAAGCCAUUUUCAUACAAA